ACUCCUACGGGAGGCAGCAGUGGGGAAUUUUGGACAAUGGGCGAAAGCCUGAUCCAGCAAUGCCGCGUGUGUGAAGAAGGCCUUCGGGUUGUAAAGCACUUUUGUCCGGAAAGAAAUCCUUGGCUCUAAUACAGUCGGGGGAUGACGGUACCGGAAGAAUAAGCACCGGCUAACUACGUGCCAGCAGCCGCGGUAAUACGUAGGGUGCGAGCGUUAAUCGGAAUUACUGGGCGUAAAGCGUGCGCAGGCGGUUUGCUAAGACCGAUGUGAAAUCCCCGGGCUCAACCUGGGAACUGCAUUGGUGACUGGCAGGCUAGAGUAUGGCAGAGGGGGGUAGAAUUCCACGUGUAGCAGUGAAAUGCGUAGAGAUGUGGAGGAAUACCGAUGGCGGAGGCAGCCCCCUGGGCCAAUACUGACGCUCAUGCACGAAAGCGUGGGGAGCAAACAGGAUUAGAUACCCCGGUAGUCCC
rnacentral:rRNA from 1 species